GAUGAAGAACGCAGCGAAAUGCGAUAAGUAGUGUGAAUUGCAGAAUUCAGUGAAUCAUCGAAUCUUUGAACGCACAUUGCGGCCAUAGGUAUUCCUUUGGCCAUGCCUGUUAGAGCGUCAUUUACACCCUCAAGCCUAGCUUGGUGUUGGGCGUCUGUCCCGCCGUUCUCGCGCGCGGACUCGCCUCAAAGUCAUUGGCGGCGGUCGUGCCGGCCCCCUCGCGCAGCACAUUUGCGCUUCUCGGAGGCCCGGCGGAUCCGCGCUCCAGCAAGACCUUUCACGACUUGACCUCGGAUCAGGUAGGGAUACCCGCUGAACUUAAGCAUAUCAAUAAGCGGAGGA
rnacentral:misc_RNA from 1 species